UUUUUUAUUUCCCCCUCUAGCAGCUUCUCUUCACUCCUUUAAACUCUCUUGCCGGCACCUCCAUAUCACCAUUUCCACCAUCAUUUUUUCGGCAAAAUCACCGGAAAAUUCUUGGGAACCCAUAAAUACCUUCACAUCCUUUUUUUGAGGUUCUAGUUAAUCUCCUUGGAGCUUUGAGAAUUAGGGAUUUUGCGUUGCGAGGUAAGUAGCUUUUUAAUGGGAUUUUUGGAAAAUAACCAUGUUUUAUAAAUGUUGUUUUUGGGGUCAAACACAUUUUGGAAAAUUAUAUAUGGAUUUCUUGAAAGUAUUGUGUUGUGACCCUAUUAUAUAUGAUUAUAUAUGAAAAUGCAUCAUAUUUGGUAUUGCAUUUGGGGAAAUGCAUGAAUUGUUGAUAUAGAAAAAAAUGAGCAUCUUUUAUUUAAUCUUUGAUAAGGAAAUCUUGAACGUUAUGGUAUAUUAGAAAAUUUAAAGAUGCUUAUCUUGUCUUGUUAUGUGGGAAAUUGUUAGAAAAUCUUUUGACAAGAAUGAAGUUGAAAAUCUUACAAACCUUGUGGAAGUUAGUUUUUUUAAGGUUUUUAUGAAACUACCUUGAUAUGAACUAUGUGUUUCAAAGUAAUGUAACUUGUGAGUUUAUGUGGUUUUAACACCAUGUCAUAUGUGAUUUCUCGAUGAUCACCCGAUUUGGUUUUAAUAGUCUUUGUGACAACAGAAUCAAAUCCAGGUCAGUGCCCUUUCACUUUGGAUGACGCAUUCUUCCCUGCUGUCCAUGGGGGGAAGAGGUUUCUUAAUUCUGUGUGGAUGAGGUUGUUGCCCAUGGGGCCAAGAGACUACAUGCAAGAGAGGUCCUAUUUGACGCACUCUUUCUGCUGCCCAUGGGGGGAGAGAAAAACCUUGAGAGUAUGGGUGAGGCUGCUGUCCAUGGG